AGGCAGAACAGUUGUCUCCGGCUGGCCUGCUCUGACCCAGUCUCUCGCCCCACAUAAGCCUCUCAGCGAGUAACAAGAAAGGGUCAGGCACCUCAUGCCUCUUCCCUGGAUGAGAGUCAGGGCACCAGUGUGAUGGCGCCUCUCCCCACCGUCCGUUGCUGGGAGAGCCGGCUCGCGUGUGCACGUUGUGUCCUCCAGUCCCUAAACCUACGUGUACUUGGAAAGCAAAGUUUCUUGCGGGAUGGAACGCAAAUGAACUCUCAGCUCUUUCUUCAGGAGUUGCAGUCACCAGCUUCUGCCUAAAAGCCAGCUCUCCACACUCCACAGGCGCCCACAUAAACUCGAGAUCCUAGCGGUCUUGCCCUCCCCCGUCCCUGCCCUUCCCCACUGGGAGCCUGGUCCCCCGCGGUGCAUGCUGGGUAGGCCGGCAGCGGCGGAAGUGAAAGGCUCCUCAGGCAGUCAAGAAACUGGCCCAGUCAUCUGGUCCUCAAAUAGGGAGACAGAAGUCACUGCUAUCAUUGUGAGGGGUCCAAGACAAAUGAGACCCCAAACCUGCCAUGCCAAGGAAUCCUGCAUCUUACAGAGAUAAGAUGGUGAGGCCCUGACACAGCAGCUUUCACUGAGCAAGUGGUGAGGCCCUAGAAGACUCCUGUCUUUCCCAUAAAAGCAACCCUCUGAAUCAGAUGAUGUUAAUAUCUUCAUUCUCAAGGAGAGGCUCUAACAAGUUAAAUAACCUGUCAACAGUCACAAAGCUACUGUGUGGCAGAAUCAAGAGUGAACUGCAUCGAGUGUUCCUUCAUGAAACAGAAGAGUGAGACAUCUCUCGAGUGGCCUGGUGGACUCUUGAGAAGGCCUGGAAUGAGGAGGAGUCGGUCCAGGAGCUCCUGGAACACAGGAGCAUAUUAGUGGUCUGUCACACUGCCGUGGCUAUUCGUGAUGUUAG
ensembl:lncRNA